rnacentral:other from 1 species
UUAAUUCUGCGGGGUUCGUUACCGAGUUAACACAAUUGAGCCUACGCCGUUAAGAAAGGGAGACCGACGCCGCUCUGAAAGGCCGGUGCAUUCCUUCAAAGUUAAGGAAUUGCCAGUGGCUGCGGCUUACAUAGGUCACCCACCUGUUCACGCAGGUUCAAUUACGGCUGCGGGACGGCCAACGCGGAUUUCCC